AUGCAAGGUCUUAGCAGGCUGAUGCUGAUGCAAGGAUCUCCAGCAACCACAAGUAUGGUCCAUGAUGCUGAAGAAGGUUCUCACACCACCUUUGUUUCCAAGGAACAAGGUUCGUCACCAAUUCCUUACGAUAUUAUCAUGGUGUCUCUCAGUGGCAGCCUGUUACUGUUGGUUGUGAUCAGCAUAGCAGUGAAAGUUCUCCUGAGGCACUGCACCUCACAUCAUUCCUCCAAAGAUCUCGGUGCACCUACAGUGGUCCUGGAAAAUACUGCAGUAACGAACAUCUCUGAUAAGAUUUCAACAGUGGAUUUGACCGGCCCAGUGUGUAGCAGUGACGGCCCCCAGCUUCUCUCGUCAGCAGCUUUCUUCUGGAGAGAAAAGUGCACAAAGAGCUUAGGGGUGUGUGACGGACGGAUGUGCCCCACUUCCCUUCCAACACCAUAG
rnacentral:lncRNA from 1 species